rnacentral:rRNA from 1 species
UUGGAGGGCAAGUCUGGUGCCAGCAGCCGCGGUAAUUCCAGCUCCAAUAGCGUAUAUUAAAGUUGUUGUGGUUAAAAACGCUCGUAGUUGAACCUUGGGCCUGGCUGGCCGGUCCGCCUCACCGCGUGUACUGGUCCGGCCGGGCCUUUCCCUCUGUGGAACCCCAUGCCCUUCACUGGGUGUGGCGGGGAAACAGGACUUUUACNGUGAAAAAUUAGAGUGCUCCAGGCAGGCCUAUGCUCGAAUACAUUAGCAUGGAAUAAUAGAAUAGGACGUG